AAAAAUUUGAAAACAAAAAAAAUCAAUGGUUUUGAAAUGAUGGAAAACAUGAAAGGAUUAAAAACGUAAAUAACCCAUCAAUGCCUAAAACCCAUUUCAAAUCCUAAUUAAAAUCCCUACUCCAUUUGUAACAGCAGCAGCCGCAUUCAUCCUCUCCCCUGCUCUUCACGCCUAAACUUCCCCUUUCAAUCUUCGAUUCAGACGAAGCAUAGCAAGGGCAUCGACGGCGAACCAGCACUGGUAAGAACCUCUUCUCUUCCUCUUUACUUUCGUUUUGCACACCCAGGAAAAUAAAAAACAAAGAAAUAACAAAGAAAGCGAUAAAAAAAUGAAGAAAAUCACCUUCAAAAUCAGACUGCUAUAUUUUAUUCCCUUUUGUACUUCGGUUUACACUUGAUUUCUUUCUUUCUUUUUUGUUUCAAUCUGCCCUCCAAAAAAAAAAGAAAAAACUCUUGAAAAUGGAUCCAUUUUUAUAUCCAAUCCCCCCAGAAAAAACAAACCAUAUUUUCCUAUAAUCCUAUUGCCUCCCUGCUGUUCGUAGCUUGUUGCAGGUACCACUAGUGAGAAGACGUGUGCAGCGUGCGCAGAGGCUACUGAACGUGGGCAGUUGCUGCGACGUGGGGCAUGUGGCGCCGGUUUGCUGCUAACCUGUGUUUGGCUAAUUUGGGCUAGUGCUAUUGGGCUGAAUGGUAUUGGGUCAUUUGGAUUUGGAUUAUUUGUAAAAAUGAACUGUUUAUUGUAUUUAUUAUUUUUUGUGGUCUAUUUAUUUGGGUCCGGACUAAAAUGGACUAUUACAUACAUGUAAAUAGAUUUUUAAACAAACAUUAAAAUAGAUCUUAUUCUAUUGAAUCAUUUAUUUUUCAUAUACAUGUAAACAUGAUACAUAUAUAUUUUUUGAGAUUUUUUUAAGUAUAAUGAUUUAAUUCGCCUCCAAUUUUAUAAAAAUAUUAUUUUAAUUCUUGAUAUAAAUUUUCGUUUUUUAGUUUUUAAAUUUUUUUUGUCAAAUCACUUUAAAAUAAUAAAAAAAUUAAUGUUUUUAACUUUGUUAAUGUUGCAUAC
rnacentral:lncRNA from 1 species